UGGAAAAUCACUUAUCAGGUAUGUUCAGUUCAGACCACACUAAAAUGGCCAAAUUAAAGAUAAAUAUUUGCAUUGUCCUAAAUUCUUCCACUCUCUGGAAACAAAGUCGCAGAAUGCAUGUGAACAGAGUAUACUUCCAUGGUUUUGCAAGUAAUCAUACAAUAAGUGCACUGUUCACUAUGUAUUUUAUCAUCAGUUAAAAAAUAAUCAUAGAAAAAGUUCAAUUUGUGUUAUUGAAACAGCUCAAUUUAUCAGUAUUGUGGAGAUCAUGCAUGAGUAGUAUUUAUGUUCUCAAGAUAUGAGAGAGUGGGAUGUUUGCAUGAUUGUGGCUGGUUGGAGUGUAUGGUCUUUGUGGAGAUCAUGCAUGUUAUUUGCUUAUGACACGAUGUAUAUAUAUACUGCUAGAAGUUCUAGUACCUAUAUUACUACAAUUCGCUAAUAAAAAUGUAUCAGUUCAUUGUCUAGCACAUGGUUAACACAUAUAAUUACAAAAUAGUUACUUGAACUAUACAAGAGUUCAACUUUUACUUGAUUUUCAGUUCAAAUUUUGUGUUAUUUUUAGUACAUCAACUUUAAUGUGCAGAACAUCGAGGAAAUCCUGAAAAAUUAUAUGUACACUCUAUGUAUUUUCUUAUGCUUACAAGAAUUCUGCACUCAUACUGUUAUGCAUCAGUUUAGGUCGCCCGUGGAGUUUUAGAUAUAUGCAAAAUCGUAUUAGAUCACCAUGCUCUCACCCAAAGGUUUGAAAAACCAUUGCUUUCAGUUCUGGUAACAUAUGUUUUUGUUUCAGUUUUGCUAAUUCUUUCUCCAAUGGGCCUUUAUAUAUUAUCUUUCACUUGUCUUACUAUAUGAAAAAUAUGUGGCCUUUAGCGAGCAAUCUGGCUCAGUUUUCUGGUUAAAAAACAGACAACAUGGAUUUACCAUGUUCUAUUAAAAGAAAGCUGGAGUUCAAAUUCUAAUUUUAGUUCAGUGAAGAUCAAUGGGAAAAUGCACAAGAAGUUCAGACUCUUGUUUCCUAAAGUGUUUGUUUUGGUAUGUCUAGCCCAAACAAUCAUCAAUUUUUUUAAAAAAAUUCUCUGUUGUCAAAUAAAAGCUACACUAAUUAUUAUGGACAUGCUCAUUACAAACUUUUGUAAUGGUGCAGUACACCUAUUUAAUUUUUUUAUAUAUUUACAAAACAGAAAUUAUAAUUCUCAGAAACCUACAAAAAAAGCAUCAAUUUAUAUUGAUAGUUGUUCUAGUCCUUAUGUUACAACAGUGCAAUGAAAAAAUCUCAUCAGUUCAACAACAUGGACAUGCUAAUGCUGUAGCGAGUCCAUGCUAAUGCUGUAGUGAUCUCGUGCUCGGCCACAAGGAUGUCGGCUGCAAUGAUGCCAAAGUGACGAGCUAUCUACAUUCUGCCUGGCUGUUGUCCAUCUAUAUCUGUGUCCGUGGUGCGUCGCCAGCGGCAUCAUCCCUGACCAGGGCACCAUGCUGAGGCACUUGCUACUACUAACGCACACUGCAUUUGACGCAUAAAGAUGGAAAAUGCAGGAAGUCGCAUGUUUAUGUGGAGCUAAUGCACACCAUUUUUUUGCUGAAAAUACCGCGGUUAAAAUGAAGGUAAGCUUGUGCGUGUAUUUGUCUGAGGUGGUUGGUUCUAGAAAGGGAGAUUCACACAAGUAGGUUUAAAGAUAUUAUUUAUUAAAAAGUUGUAGCUCUUUUCUUGGUUUAUGGUCAGCUCAUGCAUCGAGUUUCCAUCCAAUCCAUGGGAUGACCUCUACCUGCACGUACUUGCUGCUAAAAUGUUGUGUCGUUAAACUUGUUAUGAAGCCACUGUUAUUCUUCAGCUGCGACCUACAGGAGUUUCUUCAUCUGCGCUUCAACAAAAAAGAACAGCAGCAGUCCAUGCAUCUGCCGUAUCUCUUUCCUCUCUACUGCUCUUUUCUCUUACUAAUUUGUUUCUCUUUGAACUGCAGCAUGGGGGAGGUUGGACUACAGACAACCCCCGCCGCCCCAUGCAUUACUUCCUCCGGUCCCUGUCCAGGUAUGGGGUUCACACCAGUCCAACUCUUUCUCCCUUCUCCGUCCAGUUGUUGUAUGCUACUCCAAAUGCCAAUGAUCAUGCAAAACAGUUGUUGCUAGAGUCUACAUGAUUUGUAGUGUAGAUGCCAUAGUUUCACCCUAUUUUUCUGGUUCUAAUUAUUGCUGCAUAACUCUUUAAAAGAAUGUUUUGUGAAUGUUUGUGAUCAUGGCUUGUAGGUAUUCAUGUGAACUUUAAAAUAAUGAUUGUUCUUGUAGGAGGUUCAAAGAUUGUCGUGGAGCAAGUUUAAGAGAUUAGUUUCGUGAAAAUAAUGUGAUCUUUUGGUCAGGAUUUUGCAUGAUCCAUAGCCAUCAAUGGCAACAGGCGAGCAGUUCAAGGCCUCCUACGUGAGCUUGUUGUCUCAACACAUCUAUCAUCGGAGUAUCUGCAUCCCCUUGCCGCACACACAUGCCCGGCGGUCGAGAUAUUGUUGUUUGUGAUUACUGGUCGUGACUCUUACGUUGUCAUUGGUUGUCAUUGGACAAAGAAUUUGUUUUGUAACUCUGUAUUGGCAGGACCCUCAGUAAAUAUAUGUUCUUAGUAUUCUGAUCUUUAGGCCAAAAUGGUGAAACUUUAAACAUGAGUCUGAAUUAAUAAAACUGAGAAGUUCUACUAUCAGUAAACGGGUGGACCUAGGUGCAACAAAGCUCUGCCAUUAGCCGUGGUGAUUAUCAGUUCACGUGUAUUGUGUUCUUUUUGUUAGUCAGAUUGUGUGCAAGUUUGUUACCGGUUCAUGUGUAUGUGUUGGUAAUCACUGCUGUUGCUGCUAG
rnacentral:lncRNA from 1 species